AAUUUCUUGCACUAGCAGCCAAGAAGAUGCCCUGUUCACAAGAGGUGGUGGCAAACUCAUGAUUCUCUAACACAGAGUUCCUUCAGUUAUGUUUCCCUUGAUGGGCUUCAGUGUGAAGGUUUCAGACACAACGAGGAAUGAACGAGUUGAAAGCAGAAGAUGUCAUGCAGUGGGUAAAUGACGAGGGGAAAACAUUUAAUACUCAGAAUCACAGGAAAUGAAAACCACCUCCGUUCAUCUGCAAACAACAAAUAACUUGCACUCCAGCAAGCAGUUUGUCUUACAUUCUAGUUCACACCUGCAGAAGGGGCAAGAAGGGAAAGCACCAAACUCCAUUAUCCUCAGAGUAAGAGAUCAGAGGAAAGCAGAAAUUAUACAAUUUCCAUAUAGACAAAGCAGCAGAACGCGACUUUGGCCGUCUUACAGCAGACUCCAGAGCUCUGAAAAACACUGUGAAAGCUGUCAGCUGGGCUACAAAAUAUGUAAGUCAGUAAUGACUGUGCACAAAGGGAUGGAGAAAAGUGUUAAAGAAGAAAAGCCCAUUGCUGGACAGGCACUGCCAUCCAACGCAGCAUGCUGAGAAAAAGAAGAGAAGGAUCCCAAAAGAGCAAAGCUGGUGCCUGGGCUUGGCAGGGCUCAUGUCAUCAGCGGGACCUGGCUGCAGACCUUUGUCUCCACUCAGAUAAUCCCACCUGGUUUACUCUGCGCAGGCAGUGGUCCAUUGCUGGCCCAAGCAUCUUUCUCUGGGCUUUGUUUUAGAUCUGUCUUGCUAUUUUGAGCAUGUAAGCUUCCUAACUUUGAGCAGGCUCUGAGCAUAGGAAGCUGCCACCUGUAGCCAUUGCUCAUUUGGGUCAGGGCCGUCUUCUGCUGUGUGCACAUCAUGUUUCUGAGCACACUGUGCCGGUUUAAUAACAGCAGGAUGAGAAGUGCCACAAGAAUCAUCCUGAUUUUUAUAUAUUGUUUUGCACAAAUAUCUGUUUUAUUUAUGUAUUUGCCGAGGACAUAAAUACAUGGAGGAGCACAAAUGCACAUUUCAGCUUUUAAUCUGUGCUGCUGUGGAUGUUAUGGGCUUUGACUGGACAAGCUCUCUUCCCCAAACAGCCAAGUUACUCAGAUGAAUAACGUCAUCUGAGCACAUAAGUGAUUUUCACGUUGGGCCUUGUGUGCUCAGCAUGGAGAUUGGCAUUAAGUGGGAUUUCCUUCCAAAAAAAACCAAAAACCAAACAACAACAACAACAACAACAACAAAAAAACCUCACCAAAAAAUGUGGAAGGUGGAGAGAAAACCUCUGAAGGAUGUUACUCAGGAAUGAAGAGCUGAAGAGCAAAGAGUUUGCUGCUGACCCAGACGUGAUGGCAUCCUGCAAGAGAUGAGAAGCCUGCUGUUACGGGAGAACCACUAAAUAGUUCUUCAAACCUACUGUUAAUGAUAAGGAGCAGAGAGGCCUCUGCCACAGCCUCCAUCUGUUUCCUUGGGCAAACCAUUUAUUUAAACCUACUACACUCCAGCCUCUUCUUCCGCUCCCUCUCAUCUCUCAUCUUGGCUAUUUGACACCUCGGGGCACAACAGUCUUUUGCUAUUUCUAUGCAGAGUGACUUCUGCCACAAUUACCGUCAUAUAGACAACAGAACAAGACAGAGCCCAGCUCUGUGGGCACACUGGUAUUUUCCCUUGAGGGUCAAGCCUUUGAAGCAGCCCCUCUCAAUCCACCUGAGCCAGGUAAGGGCCUCUGCCAUGGUUAAUAGCACUUCCUAACAUUGCCUCAGCAGUGAUCAAGCGGAAGAGGGGGGAAAAAAAAAGCCCCCCAAACCAACCCCUGUAACAAAACCCCUUUGUCGUUUUGCUGCAAUGGUAGUAAUAUUCUUAGCUAUUGUUCCAGAUCUGCCAAUCAUGGAAAGUUUAAAGACGAAAGGGGUGGGCAGCGGGGGCAGAGGAAUCAAAGCAGACCAUUAGGCUGAAUGGUUAUCGAGGCAGUUUGCUCCAGGCAAACAGUUAAUCCAGACCUGGGAGAGAGCACUGGUAGUUAAAGCCCUUUAAUGGCCUAAGUCCUAUGAUAAUUAGUCCUGCCCUGGAGGUAGUUAAGUGAGCCACUCCAGCCUGAAAUGGAGCUCAUCCACUGCUGAGGCCAUAAUCCUCUCUGCACAAUGAGAGCUGAACUAAUUCACUGAGUAAACACUUUCUCAGUUACUUACACGCUGUCUUCUU